GCAAACUUGGUCAUUUAGAGGAAGUAAAAGUCGUAACAAGGUUUCCGUAGGUGAACCUGCGGAAGGAUCAUUGAUAAUGAGUUUGGGGGGGGAGAAGGGGUGUGUUGUGGCAUUUCUUCUUCUUUCCCUGUUGACCAUGUGAAUUACACGCUCAGAUAUGAGUUGUGGGGAGAAGAAUAAACGAGAGAAAUUAUUUGUUUUUGGAAUUUGGGAUAAAAAAACUUUUAACAAUGGAUCUCUAGGCUCUUGCAUCGAUGAAGAACGCAGC
rnacentral:misc_RNA from 1 species